UACGGAGGGUGCAAGCGUUAUCCGGAUUCACUGGGUUUAAAGGGUCCGUAGGCGGUUUUGUAAGUCAGUGGUGAAAGCCCAUCGCUCAACGGUGGAACGGCCAUUGAUACUGCAAGACUUGAAUUAUUAGGAAGUAACUAGAAUAUGUAGUGUAGCGGUGAAAUGCUUAGAGAUUACAUGGAAUACCAAUUGCGAAGGCAGGUUACUACUAAUGGAUUGACGCUGAUGGACGAAAGCGUGGGGAGCGAACAGG
rnacentral:rRNA from 1 species